UCGUGCAUUUUGUGUUUGGAACCUGAGUUUGGAUAUUUCCACCGCCGAUCCUUUAUGAAAUGGAGUUUUUAGUUCUUGCUGUGUUAGAUCUGUGGAUUUCAAUUAUGAUGACCCUGAUGCGUUUAGUUUCAGCUCUCUUUUUGUUUUCACGUUGGUAGUUUUGUGCUUUCAGCUAGUUGGGUGCAUGAAAAUAGAGUAGAUUAUCUAGAUCUGUCUUAUUUACGUUGGAUCUCAUACGGAUCUGUGUUGAGUCUGUUUUAUUUCAUGUUAAUGUUCAUGCUCUGUUCAAAUAUGUUGUUUGAUGUUCGCUUUUAGUUUCUUGGAGAAGAAGAAGAUGGUAGUUAGUUAAACUGCAUGUUUCUGUCACCUUUUCUAGUUUUCAUAGCUUUUUGGAGUGCGCGCAUUUGUGUCAGUGGUCCCAACAUGCUUUUUGCUUUUCGCUUUAUCAGUCUAGUUGAUCAGUUGGUUAUUUACUUCCAUCAUGUUCUUAUUUAACUUGAUAAGUUUAGUUUUAUAAGUUGAGUCGUUUAUUUUCUUAGGUAAAUCUUAACCCCCAAAAGCGUGGCAGCAGCCAAAACCCCCCAAAAUGUCUCAAUCUCAAUUCCAUUCGCAACCAUUCCUGUGCGAUUCGACCCGUACUUCCCUCUACUAAGACGAUAGUAGUGCGGGUUAAGGUCUUGAAAGACAUCCCAAAUUUCAAUCUGGAGCACAAACAGCCAUCAGUAGCUGUGCUUAGCUUGAGCCAUCCGUUCUUAGACUUGACCAAGCGUUGCUGUACCUGGGCCCGAAUCGUGGACGCUGGAACAAUACCGGGAACUGGAGAGACUCCGAGGGAAAUUGGAAGAUAAGAACAGCAUUCGUUCCCGUUGUCACCAGGUCCGGGUUGAACACAGGAGGUCCAUCAUUUUCUACCUCUGAAGGGGAGGAAGAUAUACCCCCAUUUGUUACGCCGCUAAAGGCUAGAUGUUUUUAGUUUUUAACUUUUCUUUACUUUUGGUGUUGGUUUGGGUGAGUUUUGUUCUUGUGGUUUGUGAGGCUUAUUUCUCUUUGUUUACCUAGCUUGAGCAUUUUUCUUUUCAUCAAAAAUAAAAUAAAAUUAAGAACAGCUAUUGAAAUUUGA